rnacentral:lncRNA from 1 species
GGCACAUCUGUUCUUGGAUGCCAUACUACUCUACACAGAGCUUUCUGCUGUAUAAAGACCUCUCCCAGCACUUCCUGCCUCCAGUCAUCACCACGCCUAUUUAGGACUCUUUCACUCAGUUCAUUUUUGCGUUUUAGUCUUUGGUGCUGGGGAUCCUGGGCUUCGGGCAUGCUAGGUCUGAGGAACCGCUCUGUUCCACCCUCAGCUCGCACUCAGUAAGUAAGCAAAUGCAGCCUCCCUGGAUAUAAAUAUUCCCCAAUAUUUGCAGGAGUCGGUAAUCCAGGCACAAAAGUGUUCUCUGCCACGAUUCCAGCUCCGCAGUCCAGUCCCAAAGUGCUCUGUUACAGAGCGGAAGAGGCUUGCCCUCAAGGAUUCUUUUGCAUGGUGUACCAUCUAUUCGGCACACUAGCAGCCACAGAAAUGACAAGAAUUGACCUGUGUGUUAGAGGACCUUGUCUGAAAUCUAGUCCAAGGUUAAUCUCCUGCUGUGUUCCUACCUCUUUAGUUCUGAUCAAAACACUUAAAGGCUGGAGACAAAAGCUGGACUUUGUUCUCUUGUCACCUGACAUUUGAGGAGUUUUAGUAACAUUUACAUGGGGUGGGAGGGGUAAAGUUUAGGGUCUCUAAAACUCUGUGUGUGUUUACGUGUGUGUACAUAUCUAUGUGCGUGCAUGUGUGUAUAUGUGUAUGUGUAUAUGUGUGUAUGUGUGUGCAUGUGUAUGUGUGUCUAUGUGUGUAUCUAUAUAUGUGUAUGUGUGUUUGUGUAUAUAUGUGUGCAUGUGUGUAUAUGUAUAUGUGUGCAUGUGUAUAUGUGUAUGCAUGUGUGUAUAUGUGUAGUGUGUAUAUAUGUGUGUGUAUGUGUGUAUAUAUGUGUAUGCAUGUAUAUAUGUGUAUGUAUGUAUAUGUGUAUGUGUGUAAAUGUGUGUGUAUAUGUGUAUGUGUGUGUAAAUGUGUGUAUAUGUGUAUAUGUAUGUGUAUAUAUAUAUAUAUAUAUGUGUGUGUGUGUGUGUGUGUGUGUGUGUGUGUGUGUGUGUGUGUAUGUGUGUGCAUAUAUGUGUAUGUUUCUGGGGAUUAAACCCAGAAUGUUGGGCAUGCUAGGCAAGUGUUUUAAAUCUCCAGCCUCUUUAGGAUCCUUUUGUCCUGUUUUUGUAGAUUACUUUCUCAUUGUCAGCCAAUGAAGUGGAGGUGGCUGGAAUUAGGGCAAGUAUGAACAGAGCUGUGGGGCUUGGCUGCCUUCUGAUGUCUCACUUGCCCUGUGAAGGACAGUGCUUCCUUGGGAAUCCAAGUCCCAAGCUCGUGUUUCAUCUUAAAAAUCCACAUGCAUCCUGCAUAUAUUGCAAAAUAAAUCCCCUGCUUGUUUCAUUAUUGACUCUUACCACAUAACCAAGUAAGACUGAGGCUCACGAGAAAUAGGCAGGAUGCCAUGCAGCUGGAGGUACUGAGGAGUGUCCUCAGGGAUAGAAACUGCAGAGGGAGAAGCCCAGGCAGGCGCUGGCUUUGGGGUUGGAGGAGAGGUCCCCUUGCAUCUAUGCUCUGGCUUCUCUGAAGUCAGGGUGCAUUCUGGGAGUGCUGGUGGAGACUAUCCUAGAUUAUCUUCAUCAUGAAGGUCUUCUACCAAUGGCCACUCCUUCUCCAUGGCCACUGAGUUCUCCAGCUCCCAGUCCCUGAUGCUUGUCCCUCCCAUUCCUCCUCUUCUUCCUCUUCCUCUUCCUCCUCCUCCUCCCCCUCCUCUUCCCCUCCUCUUCCCUCUCCCUUUCCUUCUCCUCCCUCUCUUCAGUUUUCUUCUGUAGGCAGCCUCCUUGAAGGCCCUCUGAACUCAUGUGCCUGAGAUCAAACUCGGGGGAACCUCGUUCAUGUGAGCCCACAGCAUUUAAUUCCUUUUGUUUUUCCACAUCCUGUUUUCUAGACGAUUGAAUGUUUGCUCACGUUGCACUGUGGCAGAACCCCGCAGAGUGGCAUUAAAAACUAACCACCACCCAGAAACAACUUUUCUAAAGAUGAAGUUGUCUGUUUCCUAGACUGGCUCCAACUGCAUUAGAUAGCUGUUGUCAACCUUGACCUUUUGAUCCUCCCUCCCCAGUGCUGGGAUUACAGGCUCCCUUCUAUUUUCAAAGAGAUUUCUGUCGGUAGACAAUCCAUGGCUGUCUCCUUUAUGCUGCAGGCCUCCGGUGGCCUCUCCCACAGCUGCUUGGCAGGUCCUUUCACACUGAGGUCAGACUGCCCAACUUCCCUAUCUCUGAUGCUGUCAGCUUUCCGAUCGUGUCCCCUCAGCAUUGUUCCUUUAUUCACCCAGUGGAUCAUUACUGAGCACCUGCUAUUGGCCAGUUUGUUCCAGGAAGAAAGGUGCCAUGAGGAACGGGCCGAAUGAUCCCAUGACACAUAACAGUGAUGGGUGAAGACAGAUGAAUUGAACAAAUGAAAAGCCAUGUAGCAAUCUGAAUUAAAAAAAAAAUAAACACACACGUGAUGGAGAAAAUAAAACAAGAUAAGAUACACAGUGGCAAGGUAAGAGAAGAAAUGUCAAGUGACAAAGGCUAAGAGGAGGCUGGAGGGAGGAAGAGGAGGCCAGUGUGGCCAGGGUGUGUGGCUGAGGGGAGAGGUGGGCAGACACGGGACAGGCAGGAGUAGAAACUGGGACCAGAUCACGUAGCCUGUUUGUCACAUGCCUGAAGGAGCUUCAUUUUCUUCUCUGUGCUUCAGGGGAAGGUGGCAGAAAGGACUUCCCUGGCUGGUGUGAAGAUGGGGGGUAAGGACCUUGAACAAGAAGAACAGUUUGGAGGAUAUUGGAGAGCCCCAGGAGAGUGGCAGUGGUGGCUUGGAUAGUGCCCACUUUGAACAACGAUU